rnacentral:rRNA from 1 species
UACAGAGGUCCCAAGCGUUGUUCGGAUUCACUGGGUUUAAAGGGUGCGUAGGCGGAUUAGUAAGUCCGUGGUGAAAUCUCCGAGCUUAACUCGGAAACUGCCAUGGAUACUAUUAAUCUUGAAUGUUGUGGAGGUUAGCGGAAUAUGUCAUGUAGCGGUGAAAUGCUUAGAUAUGACAUAGAACACCAAUUGCGAAGGCAGCUGCUACACAAAUAUUGACGCUGAGGAGCGAAAGCUGGGGAUCAAACAGGA